rnacentral:snoRNA from 1 species
UCAUCAGGUGGGGUCAUCCUUACCUAUUCUUCCUUUAGGAGGACAUACUAGAAAAUGAUGAUUGGAAUUCCCAUGAUGCAUGAUUAGCAUCUCUGCAUAAUCAGGACUUGCAACACCCUGAUUGCUUCUAUUAGAU